ensembl:snoRNA
ACCCUUUUGUGGCUCAUACGUGUGAUGGUUGGGUUUACAUACAUUUGUGUGACAUGUGCCUGACAUGGAGAAAAUGUCACCAAUAGGACC